rnacentral:misc_RNA from 1 species
UCCGGUUUGUCACCGGCAGUCUCCCUAGAGUGCCCUUGCGUAGCAACUAGGGACAAGGGUUGCGCUCGUUGCGGGACUUAACCCAACAUCUCACGACACGAGCUGACGACAACCAUGCAGCACCUCGGCUGGCUUCCUUGCGGAUCGCCCCUACUUUCAUAAGGACUACUACCAGUCGUUCGAGCCCAGGUAAGGUUCUUCGCGUAGCGUCGAAUUAAACCACAUGCUCCACCGCUUGUGCGGGCCCCCGUCAAUUCCUUUGAGUUUUAACCUUGCGGCCGUACUCCCCAGGCGGACAACUUAAUGCGUUAGCGUCGGCGCGGAAGGGGUCGAUACCUCCCACACCUAGUUGUCAUCGUUUACGGCUAGGACUAC